GAGCAGCUGCGAGAUUACACGAUGCAGAUGAGAGAUUACGUUGAUUCAGCAGAUUGUCCUGUGCGUGUCUGAGAAAGAUCCCAGCCGCGGAGUUAAGGCUCCCCAUCCGCUGUGGUGCCGUUUUAGAAGAAUAGCCUCUGAUCAAGAAUAAGAAUUGUUGUUGGAAUAAUAUGCGAACAGAUCAUGAAGAACUCUGUGGCACCAGUUAUGGAUCUUUUUGUCUAAAUGGAGGGAUUUGUUAUAUGAUUCCUACUGUAUCCAGUCCAUUCUGCAGGUGUAUUGAGAAUUACACAGGAGCCCGCUGUGAGGAAGUAUUGCUGCCCAGCAUCAAGUCCCAAACAAAAGGUGACCUGUUUGCAGUUUUAUUGGCUUCACUUCUUCUUCUAGGAGUUCUUGUAAUUGGAGCAUUCUACUUCCUUUGCAGGAAAGCUUCCAUCCCAAGGACGAGUUCUUCAGAGUGUGGUGCCAACCUGGUUGAGACUACAACCAGCAAUGGCUGCAACAAAAUAAUAACUGAGUAAAGCAUUAGAGUGGAACAAUGGUGGGAAAACAUCAUGCAGAGGAACCCUAAGAAUACAGCAGUGAUAGAGGCUGAUGUGGAUUCUCUUCCUCAAACAAAUAGAGGCCAAAUGACAUGGUCUGUCUCUCUUUCUGCCUUGACAACACAACCAGACUGUCUUGUUAGUCAGAG